CCUACGGGAGGCAGCAGUGGGGAAUAUUGCGCAAUGGGCGAAAGCCUGACGCAGCGACGCCGCGUGAGGGAUGCAGGUCUUCGGAUCGUAAACCUCUGUCAGCAGGGAAGAACGGUCACUGUGCUAAUCAGCAGUGAAUUGACGGUACCUGCAAAGGAAGCACAGGCUAACUCCGUGCCAGCAGCCGCGGUAAUACGGAGGGUGCGAGCGUUAAUCGGAAUUACUGGGCGUAAAGCGCUCGUAGGCGUUAUGUCAAGUUAAGGGUGAAAUCCCCGCGCUCAACGUGGGAACUGCCUUUGAAACUGGCAAACUGGCGUGUGUGAGAGGUUAGUGGAAUUCCAGGUGUAGGAGUGAAAUCCGUAGAUAUCUGGAGGAACAUCAGUGGCGAAGGCGACUAUCUGGCACAUAACUGACGCUGAGGAGCGAAAGCGUGGGUAGCAAACAGGAUUAGAUACCCCGGUAGUC
rnacentral:rRNA from 1 species